UCUGGAGAAGACGUUGAACCGGCUGACUAAAGGAGAGCUGACCCCUGAAGAGGUCAAUCUGGUCUGUAGCAAGGCCAUGGAGGAGGCUGACCUCGACGGGGACAGCAAGCUCUCCUUCUCGGACUUCGAGAACAUGAUCUCUAAAGCUCCAGACUUUCUAAGCACGUUCCACCUACGGAUCUGAGGUGAGGUGAUUCAGCCGCUCCCAUGAUGAGGCUUUAGACAAUGACGGAAGAGGAGGGGGAAGAUGAAGAAGAAGAAGAAGAAGAAGAAGAAUGUGGUCGCUUUCUGGUUCGUCUGAUGACGUCAUCCCCGAAGACUCCUCCCAGAGUCUCUGUGGCCCCGACCCACAGCAGAAUGAACCCUGACCUCAACCUCAGUACAGCAUAGUGCCUACCAAAAAAAAAAACGUUAGUAGAGAAGUCUUGUCUUUCCCCAAGUCUAUCUUCGAUCGAUGCGAUGUUUGUACAAAAUAUAACAUUGAGAAGAUAAAAAAGGAAGUGGAACAAAAGUUUGGCUUCGGCUGCAGGAAAAUGGACCAGGAGGGAUUUUAUUCUCGGAAGCACAGGCCUUUUUUUUUUUUGCCAACUCAUGUUCUAUAGGAAGGACGUUAUCGACCACAAGACACAUUUCCAUUUUCGGAAGAGAAGAUCAUUAAUGCAUGAUUGUUUUCUCUUAUAAUCAAUUGUAAACUUGUUUAAAAGAUGGAACCACAAACAGACUCCAAAUGGAGAUAGAAAAUGAACCGAUGAACAACGAGGGGCUAAUUUUUUAUACCUGUAGGGCUUAGCUACAACACAACCUAUAAGCAGUUUUCUAGAAGAUGUAGAAGAUGUUUUUUUGGGGCAGAAUUGUUAGGUUUCUUCUUUCUUUAAACUGACCUAACCUUUUUUUGAAGUGUAUACAUUGUAUGAACACUGACUGACAACAAUGCGGAAGUGGAUUGAACAACGAGAUAUUUUCUGUCUGACGGUGUACGGAAGGGAAAAAAACAGUAAGAUAUAUUAGUAAAUGAAGUAUUACAAGCACAGUUUUUAGCACCGAGGGCAGAACAGUUGAAGAGCUAUGCAAUAUAUCUUUAUGAAAUGCAUGAGUGUUACAUAAAAUUGCAAAUAGCUUUUAAUUUUUUUUUUGUUGCUCCAGUCCAAGUAUAUAGUGGUUUUGUACUGCUGGAUCACAAUGACAAUCAGAACCUGUGACGUAGAGGUAACGUGAACAAAUAGCUGGGUAAACGCUGAAUCGCCGUUUCGCGGUGAGUAAAAGUAACACUCCUCCUCUAUGCUUUCAACUCUCUUUAUAUUUUCCUGCAUUUAGAAAGGUGGGAGAAAACUCACGCGCACAAAACAACACAAAAAAAAUAUAUAAAAAAUGCGCGUUGUUUUUUUAUUUUUAUGUGCGCUUCCCGCUUCCCGCUCCUCUAAACCACGGACCAUAAUGUUACCUAACUGUUCCACAGUUAAAGGAAGGGCUCUGUUCUCUGUCUCAUCACCCCUUCCGUUAUGUUAUGCUAUGUUACCUUGUCCAGCCUGUCAACUUGAUAUAAUGGCAUUAACAUCACUUAAGAAAUAACGUGUUCAGUCUUUCAUAUGAUAAGAGCAUUUGGCUAGACUUUGAUUAAAUACAUUUUCUGUUUGCUUCGA